rnacentral:lncRNA from 1 species
AUCCAUCAUUUAAUUUAACUUAGUAUAACUUUAAACUUUUAAGUUGCCAAAAAGAUUUUGAAAAUAAUUUUUAAGUAGGCAUACUUUAAAAAACAUAAUUAUUGAAAAGUUUAUAAACUUCUAUCCCACUUACAUUUAUUUAAUUUACUUAGUUUUAACAAAUUACCCCAGAUCACAUGAUCUUGAAAACUUAAAACUCCUCAUUGAGGUCUACAGGCGCCCACCACCACGCCCAGCUAAUUUUUUUGUAUUUUUAGUAGAGACGGGGUUUCACCGUGUUAGCCAAGAUGGUCUCGAUCUUAUGACCUUGUGAUCCGCCCACCUCGGCCUCCCAAAGUGCUGGGAUUACAGGCAUGAGCCACCAUGCCCGGCCUAUUUUAACAAGAUCUAUAUAGGAUUUUCUUGGUUUAAAUUUCGGAUUCUUGAUGUUAAGAUGUAAAGGGAGGGAAUCUUUCACAUGGGAAUUUCAUCUUCUAUUUUUAAGAAACAACACUGUUAGAGUGAUCUUUUCCACCGGCUGCCACUCAAGUGUCUUUAACUGAAAUCGUCAGUAUGCCAGCCUGGUACAUUUUUAACUCCUUCAGCAGGUAGUGUGUGAUAAACUCCCAAAGAAUGAGUAAGAGAAAGGAAUUUCAGAGGAGGAAGGCAUGCCUGUGGUUCAGGGGA